rnacentral:rRNA from 1 species
GGAUUAGAUACCCUGGUAGUCCACGCCGUAAACGGUGGGUGCUAGGUGUGAGCGGUAUUCCACGCCGUUCGUGCCGCAGCUAACGCAUUAAGCACCCCGCCUGGGGAGUACGGCCGCAAGGCUAAAACUCAAAGGAAUUGACGGGGGCCCGCACAAGCAGCGGAGCAUGUGGCUUAAUUCGACGCAACGCGAAGAACCUUACCAAGGCUUGACAUGCAGGGAAAUCCUCCAGAGAUGGGGGGUCCGCAAGGGUCCUGCACAGGUGGUGCAUGGUUGUCGUCAGCUCGUGCCG